AGAUUGAACGCUGGCGGCAUGCUUUACACAUGCAAGUCGAACGGUAACAGGCCGCAAGGUGCUGACGAGUGGCGAACGGGUGAGUAAUGCAUCGGAACGUGCCCAGUCGUGGGGGAUAACGCAGCGAAAGCUGUGCUAAUACCGCAUACGAUCUAUGGAUGAAAGCGGGGGACCGAAAGGCCUCGCGCGAUUGGAGCGGCCGAUGUCAGAUUAGCUAGUUGGUGGGGUAAAGGCCCACCAAGGCGACGGAUCUGUAGCUGGUCUGAGAGGACGACCAGCCACACUGGAACUGAGA
rnacentral:rRNA from 1 species